UAGAAAGUAGUAAAAUGGGAGUACGAGGGGUUUUGAGUCCCAAGGUGCAGGUUCAAAUCCUGUUUUUCUAA
rnacentral:tRNA from 1 species